CUUUGCACUGCGUGGUUUCAUCAAGGGCAGCCAGUUUUCUUGUUUGGUCAGUAAAUCUCAGCUGUUGCCUUCUUCAAGACUCCUCUUCACACAUAAGAAGCACCUCCAAAAUCCAGCUGUGACCGAAGAUCAUCUAGAGAUAGUGACAAUGUUUUGAAAGUCCCAUCCUAGUCUCAUACCUAGAAUGGUAUCAAAUAAGACAGCAUGGGACAUGCGGAAGAGAAUUGGUGGAACUUGGACCAUGCAAGAGGAAAAGGGUCCCAGGCUAAAGCAGAAUAAAGACCUUUCCCAAAACACACUGGCCAGGCAGUGUGGAUUUCUUCACCAAGAAAUGAUGCAAGUCCAGCUACUGGGUCUAUCUGGUGAUGGAGACUGGACAAGCAGUACCUGCUGGCAGACAGGUGCAGGACUCCUCUGGAAAGACACACCCUGACCAGCCAGCUGGCACAGGAGCCUUUCUCACCUCAGCAGAGCGGCACUGAGGUAGCAUGUACGAGAAGGAUGUGCAGCGUCUGACCCAAGGUCUACUCUAUAGUGAAGGUCCAGGAUCUUUUCACACAGAUGCCCUGGGACCCAUUCUAAACACAUACACGCCAUGUUGUUAC
rnacentral:lncRNA from 1 species